UUUUCUUUACUAACCAUACUAUGACAGUUUAUCUGAUGUCUUACUCAGGAAACAUGUUUUGCGGAAAUGAAAAUGAUCUUUUCUAUUCCUAUCGUUUACCGAUACAUGUCUACAUUCUUGAUAUGAUCAACACGACUCAUCAAAUAUAUCACGUUUGCGAUAGUGAACAUAAGUCCCCGAUGGUAUCCUCAGCUCAGUAGUCAUAACGUCGGUACUGACAUGAUGUAUAACAAACGUUUCUAAUAUUGUCCGUUUAUAAAUUUGGAAAUAAUUAUUGCAGUAACCGUUGAAAAUCAUAACUCUCCGAUAAAAUGACGAACAAUACAGAUUACACAUAUAUGUUCCAUAUCUACAGAGACUGGUAAAGGGGGGUGAGCUGAUCAAAACAAAGAGGGACCAAAUGAUUUCUAUUGUUUAGAAAAGGUGGAAAGACUGGGACAUUUCAGAGUAUACCUGUGGUAGAAGUAAACUGUUUUAAAAUGUCGGAAAAGUUACGACCAAGGCAUGAAUUAGAACAG